rnacentral:misc_RNA from 1 species
GGAGGUGCUCCGAAAGGAACUCCA